rnacentral:rRNA from 1 species
GAUACGACCGUACCGCAAACCGACACUGGUGCGCGAGAUGAGUAUUCUAAGGCGCUUGAGAGAACUCAGGAGAAGGAACUCGGCAAAUUGACACCGUAACUUCGGAAGAAGGUGUGCCCUAUUAGUGUGUAGUGAACAACGAAGCAUGAAUGGGUUGCAAAAAAUCGGUGGCUGCGACUGUUUAUUAAAAACACAGCACUCUGCAAACACGAAAGUGGACGUAUAGGGUGUGACGCCUGCCCGGUGCUGGAAGAUUAAAUGAUGGGGUGCAAGCUCUUGAUUGAAGUCCCAGUAAACGGCGGCCGUAACUAUAACGGUCCUAAGGUAGCGAAAUUCCUUGUCGGGUAAGUUCCGACCUGCACGAAUGGCGUAACGAUGGCCACACUGUCUCCUCCUGAGACUCAGCGAAGUUGAAAUGUUUGUGAUGAUGCAAUCUCCCCGCGGAAAGACGGAAAGACCCCAUGAACCUUUACUGUAGCUUUGUAUUGGACUUUGAACAGAUCUGUGUAGGAUAGGUGGGAGGCUUUGAAGCAGGGUCGCUAGAUCUUGUGGAGCCAACGUUGAAAUACCACCCUGGUGUGUUUGAGGUUCUAACCUAGGUCCAUUAUCUGGAUCGGGGACAGUGCAUGGUAGGCAGUUUGACUGGGGCGGUCUCCUCCCAAAGCGUAACGGAGGAGUUCGAAGGUACGCUAGUUACGGUCGGACAUCGUGACGAUAGUGCAAUGGCAUAAGCGUGCUUAACUGCGAGACUGACAAGUCGAGCAGAUGCGAAAGCAGGACAUAGUGAUCCGGUGGUUCUGUAUGGAAGGGCCAUCGCUCAACGGAUAAAAGGUACUCUGGGGAUAACAGGCUGAUACCGCCCAAGAGUUCAUAUCGACGGCGGUGUUUGGCACCUCGAUGUCGGCUCAUCUCAUCCUGGGGCUGUAGCCGGUCCCAAGGGUAUGGCUGUUCGCCAUUUAAAGAGGUACGUGAGCUGGGUUUAAAACGUCGUGAGACAGUUUGGUCCCUAUCUUCCGUGGGCGCUGCAGAUUUGAGGAAGCCUGCUCCUAGUACGAGAGGACCGGAGUGGACACACCUCUGGUGUAUCGGUUGUCACGCCAGUGGCAUUGCCGAGUAGCUAAGUGUGGAAGAGAUAACCGCUGAAAGCAUCUAAGCGGGAAACUCGUUUCAAGAUGAGAUCUGCCGGGGCCUUGAGCCCCCUAAAGAGUCGUUCAAGACCAGGACGUUGAUAGGUCAGGUGUGGAAGCAAAAAA